rnacentral:rRNA from 1 species
UACAGAGAGAGCGAGCGUUGUUCGGAAUCACUGGGCAUAAAGCGCACGUAGGCGGCUAGAGAAGUUGACAGUGAAAGCCUUGAGCUUAACUCAAGAAUGUCUGUCAAAACCUCAUAGCUUGAAGGUGGGAGAGGUGACUGGAAUUCCUGGUGGAGCGGUGAAAUGCGUAGAGAUCAGGAGGAACGCCGGAGGCGAAAGCGAGUCACUGGUCCAUUCUUGACGCUGGGGUGCGAAAGCUUGGGGAGCAAACAGG